CGUGAGCGGCGGACGGGUGAGUAACGCGUGGGUAACCUGCCUCAUACAGGGGGAUAACAGUUGGAAACGGCUGCUAAUACCGCAUAAGCGCACAGUACCGCAUGGUACCGUGUGAAAAACUCCGGUGGUAUGAGAUGGACCCGCGUCUGAUUAGCUAGUUGGUGGGGUAACGGCCUACCAAGGCGACGAUCAGUAGCCGACCUGAGAGGGUGACCGGCCACAUUGGGACCGAGACACGGCCCAA
rnacentral:rRNA from 1 species